GUCUACAGCAAUACCACAUUGAAUGUGCCCGAUUUCAUCUGAUCUCAGGAAGCUAAGCAGGGUCGGGCCUGGUUAGUGCUAGGAUGGGAGAUU
rnacentral:rRNA from 1 species